rnacentral:ribozyme from 1 species
UUCUUUCUUCUCCUCUUUUUUUUUUACCCACCCCCCUUUUUUUCUUUUUCUCUUUCUCUUUCUUUUUCUUCACGUGCGAGGGAGCUUUCGGAUGGUAUGCACGCGGAAACAAUGGAAAUCCAAACUUUUUUUCCUUUUCCCCAUAUGUUUCAAACGAAAAAUGAAAAAAAAAU